rnacentral:rRNA from 1 species
AACGCACAUUGCGCUCUCUGGUAUUCCGGAGAGCAUGCUUGUUUGAGUAUCAGUAAACACCUCAAUUUCAUGAUUUUUAAUUUUGAAAUUGGACUUGAGCAGAUCCCAACGUACAUUUAAUUGUAUGGAGGGUUGCUUCAAAUGCAGGUGCAGCCGAUCAUUCUUCUGGGCUAAAAGCAUUAUCUAGUUAAUCCCGUAAAACGGAUUAUUCACUUUAUUGCUGCAGCUUACUUUAAAAAGGAAGACAUGGUCAUUGUGCUGACUGAUGCAGGAAUUCUCAGAGGUCUGUAAAGACUUUUGAAAACUCGAUCUCAAAUCAAGUAAGACUACCCGCUGAACUUAA